rnacentral:rRNA from 1 species
UUAACGGAGAGUUUGAUCCUGGCUCAGGACGAACGCUGGCGGCGUGCUUAACACAUGCAAGUCGAACGAUGAAGCCGAGCUUGCUCGGUGGAUUAGUGGCGAACGGGUGAGUAACACGUGAGCAACCUGCCCCUAACUCUGGGAUAACGCUUCGAAAGGAGUGCUAAUACCGGAUAUGAGCCUGGAGGACAUCCUCUGGGUUGGAAAGUUUUUCGGUUAGGGAUGGGCUCGCGGCCUAUCAGCUUGUUGGUGAGGUAAUGGCUCACCAAGGCAACGACGGGUAGCCGGCCUGAGAGGGCGACCGGCCACACUGGGAC